ACAUUUAUCACCCGUCCAGCAUUAACACACCCCACUGCCAAAAUAACAUUCUGUGGUAUACGGUAAUACAAUUAUAGUGUUCUAGCUGUUCUCUUAAGAUAACUUCAAUCAGGGGUGUGGGACUCUCUCGUUGUCGACAGCAUGCAUAGACAAACAUCUUAACACAGAGAAACCAGGAAUGAUGCGAUUUUAGCACAUUUUACCCAGACUACCUUUUUGCGUUUUCCCAAUUGCCUUCUUUUUCUUCCUCUCUGUUCUCUCACAUUCUCUUGAUUUCCCUCUUCUCUUUCCCUCCUCAGAGCGGCAACCGACCCUAUUCUGAGGAUUUAAUGGUACAUGCCAUUAGAAAGCCCAUCUCUAGAAGGGAGGAGGAGAAAGAGGGGUGGUCUCAGUCUCAGCUAAGAGGCUACUUUAGUCCCCCCCCCCUCACCACCCUUCCUUUAGCAUAAGCACAUUCACAUAUGCCUUCACACGCGUAGAGCCGCAUCAGCCGUCUCGACAGAGUGGUCGGUUUCAGUGUGGACCAGCCGGUAGCAGAGAGGCAGAGGGGAACAAAAGCAAAAGGGAGGGAGGAAUAGAAAGAAAGGGUGUGAAGCCGCUGAAUAAAACACUCCUGAAGAGGAAAAAAGGAAGAGGAAGAAAAAACAUCCUGGGAGUUCUAAAGGGGAAAAAACAUCUCCAUAAUGAGGAUGAGAGAAUAAAAGAAAAGGAUGGUUUGAAUGCAGAAGGAAGAAGAAGAGGGACCAAAACAAAGCAUGGACAAAACCAGGAAUUCUGGAAUGAAUGGGAGUCCUGCUUGCCUGCCGCACGCACACACGUACUGGGAAUAGCAGUCGUUCACUGAAGUCGCUGAAAAGCACGCCAAACCCCUCUCGGGAUUUCGGAUGUCACCUUUGGUGCAGCUUCCACACCGUUUGAGCACCCUCGACCGAACUCGUCUCUGCCCUCCAGGCGCCACCAAUUAAGGCGGGCAAGUUGUGACAGAAUCGGACGACGCAUCAAGUCGAAGAGGAAAAGGACGACGACGACGACGGCGGAGGGAGGAGGAGGGGCCUGUGGGUGGAUCAGACACAAGCAGCAGAAGACCUACAUGGACGAGGAGUUGCCUGUCUGAUUGGAGGUGGAAGAAGAGGAGUAAAAGGAAGCACAAUGGAGAAUGUCGCUGCUACAUAGCUCACCAGCAAGCUUUGUGGGCUUCCCAGCUACGCAUCACUUGUGAUAUCACGAUCCAGUUCUGACUGUGGGUAAUGCAGAGCCAAAUAACCAAUCCUGGAGAUGCCGAAGAGAAGAGAUAUUCUUGCCAUCGUGUUGAUAGUGUUACCCUGGACUCUGCUCAUCACCGUUUGGCACCAAAGCGCUAUCGCUCCACUCCUCGCCAUCCACAAGGCAUGUCACCACCUAGUAAAAGAGAUCUUUAUCAUUCCAGAGAGGCUUGCGGUCCGCCACCGACUCUCAGAUGACGGCGUUGAGGGCAAGAGGGAGGCGGGCGGCCAAGCAGGAGACUCCAAGGAAUACUGCGCCUCAGAUAAGGACAUUGUAGAGGUGGUGAGAACUGAGUAUGUGUACACGCGGCCGCCGCCUUGGUCUGACGUCUUGCCCACUAUCCACAUCAUCACGCCCACCUACAGUCGACCUGUGCAAAAGGCCGAGCUGACACGGCUGGCUAACACAUUCCUCCACAUUCCCAACCUACACUGGAUCCUGGUGGAGGAUUCCCAAAGAAGGACGCCUCUUGUGACGCGGCUCCUCAGAGAAACGGGCCUCAACUACACCCACCUAAAUGUCGAGACGCCAAGGAACUAUAAGCUGCGGGGCGACACUAGGGACCCUAGAAUCCCCCGGGGUACCAUGCAGAGGAAUCUGGCUCUCCGGUGGCUGAGGGAGACCUUUAACGCUAAUAGCACUCAAGCUGGAAUAGUCUACUUUGCUGACGACGACAACACUUAUAGCCUGGAGCUCUUUGAGGAGAUGAGAUCAACUCAAAAAGUUUCUGUGUGGCCAGUUGCCUUUGUGGGCGGCCUGCGCUACGAAUCCCCCAAAGUCAAUGCGGCUGGGAAGGUGUACGGCUGGAAGACGGUGUUCGACCCCCAUCGGCCCUUUGCCAUCGACAUGGCCGGCUUCGCCAUCAACCUGAGGCUCAUCCUCUUCAAGCCUCAGGCGUACUUCAAGCUUCGUGGGGUGAAGGGAGGCUACCAGGAGAGUAGUUUACUACGAGAACUUGUCACACUCAACGACCUGGAACCCAAAGCAGCCAAUUGCACCAAGAUACUUGUUUGGCACACAAGAACAGAGAAGCCCGUCCUCGUAAAUGAAGGGAAAACAGGAUUCACCGACCCAAAUGUGGAGAUUUAACCAUUUCUCCCAGAUCUCCUAUUAACUCACCGCAUUGUAUUUGUCCCGCAAAAAGUGACGUUUCUUCUUUACGUCUUCUUCUUCUUCUUCUUCUUGAUUUCCGGCAGACGAGGCAUAUUUAAGUGCACAGCUGUCACCAAAGAGCGUUGGUCUCCGGAUUCCUGCACAUGCAUUGAUGAAGAUGGCCUUUGAGGUCCAAGAUAUGACAUUUUUCUGAGAAAUUGACAAAGCCGUAUCAAUGUAUUAUAUCAAAGCACAGAUUGGUGAGCGGCGGCGUUUAUUUAUGAGGUGUGCGAAAGAGACAUUUUCAAGGACGCUCCAGAAGACAGUGUGGGUGUCUCGCUAGGGCAACCUGACGAAAAGACGGCACAAUUUCAUCCAAGUCAGGUUCUAGAAAAAUAACUUCACCUGAAGAAAAGGAAACUGCUGAAAUUCAUCCAAGAAGGAAGGACAAUGAAAUUAAAUGGCGUAACAUGUCUUUUGGAUUUUACUCCAAAUAAAACACUGGAAGGGAAGGAAUGUUCUUUUGAUAACAAUGUAAUGUUUGAUUUAAUUUAAUAGAAUUUGUUUAGGUGUUGACAAAACUACUGACUCGUACAUUUACAUUUACUCCUGGGUUACCAUAAUUCAUGCAUAUAAAUCACAAUGAACACUUGAAGAUGCCCCAGUUGGAAAUGUACAUCAAAAGGAAAGCAUUGCACCUUUUACUUAGCACUUAAAAAUACACUGAUGGUGUUUCUUUGUGAUAACGUGUAAAUAGAAAUGAUUCAUGGGAGCAAUCAGGAACCAUUGUUUAAAAUGUACCGUAACUACUGUAUUUAUGCUGGUCCAUUAUGAAAAAUAGCACACCUUUUUGGUCAGAGGUUCAGUUUGUGUUGAAAAAUCAAUGCUGAAAAGCCAUUUGUGCAAUUGUUUAUCGACGUAAUAAAGGUUUCCCCUUCUCGAUGCAUAGUCACGUAUACACACAAAACACCAGAAGAAGCAAAUUAGGCAUAUUGAUCGGUUAGUCAAUCAUUAAGAAUUUGUGUGGAAUUGUUUUAUCUCAUCUUGAAGAAAUUGAGGCAAAAUAGAGUUCACUGUUCAUUUACUCUCAUGAACUAUUGUGACAAGUUGAGCUUGCCUGCACUGUGGCUCAGUACAACACUUGCUCGGAAACAGGAGUUCAGAACAUUCAGAGAGGAAUUAUCCUAUCCCAUAUCUAACUAAAUUUUAUAAAAUCCAUUACUAUUGAAAAUUGUGCAAGAAUCUGUAAUAGGUUUGUAUUUGACUACUUGAAAGCAUGUGCAAGAGUUGAGCACUCUUAAAAUGUCAUGCCGCAACAUUCUCCACAAACAAUGAAAACACUAUAUUUGUCACGUAUGGGAAGGAGCUGGAUCCAAGAGCAGGUGGAGGCAGAUGUAAAAUGAUGAACAGUUUAUUGAGGAAAGGAAAUGGUGGUGGUCCUUGGUGGGCUGACAGGCGGUGGUGAGGACAGGUGGCUGGCUUGGUGCCAGGAAUGACAUGGAUCAGGAACACGGGGGGGGGGGGGGGGGGGGAAACACUGAGAACAAGGAGACACAGGAGUCAAAAAAAGGAAACGAGGAAUAGAGUUGCUUACGUGAGGUAAAUGGGCCAUGGUACCGCUGUAAGUAGCUGCAAUACUUUGGCAAGAUUUUCCUGGAAGAGGCAGGCUUAUAUACCGGGGGUGAUGAGGCUGAUUGGAGACAGGUGCUGAAAACAGCGAGGGGAGGAGGGAGAGAGAGAGGACGCUGAGCGUCCUCCCGGCUCCAAUAAUGGAACUGCGGGGCAGUAUAUGACAAUAUUUUCCCAUUAAAAUCGUGUUUUUAAUUGCCAAAAAGUCACAGCACUUGAGUAUGGAUAAGCCACUUUGUUUUCAUGAAAUCCAUUAAAACACAUUUUCUUUCAUCACCCAAAAAUAUCAAUUUUCUAUUACUUAGGAUGAUUUAGUUUUCGUACAGAAUCUUACUAAAUUCUAGACUCACGCAGGCUUUUGGAUAGCAUUGCAUUAGAUGCAUUGGUUAAGGAUCAUCACAAAAUACUCCUGAAUGACUCUUAAAAAGAUGAACACAUUUCAUACAUGCCCUCCAUUAUUUGAAUUUCCAACACAUAAUUGUUUAUAGUCAUACUUGACAGCUGGAUAAGAAAAGCACAAUAAUUUGGCUGAACACAUCUUUUGGAGAGUUGCAUUCUUAAUUACAUUAUUUCAUGAAUAUCCAGAUGUCGUGCCUGAACGCAACUAUAGACAUAAUAAUAAUGUAAUAAGCCUCUAUGGUCUGUGACAGUAAUAUUUGCAACAUUUUCAACUUGAUAAAUCAGCGCUUACUGUAUCUUAACAGCGUCGGGAAGAAGCAAUUGGAGAUGAUACAAACAGUGAGCCUCUGUGUCACUGCCAAGUUAUCUCUCAACACACGCGUCACCCAAAAUACAACGCAGCAGGAGGGGGAACACAAAAAGAUUGUUCCAGUCUAAAUAUUACAUUGGAGUACAUCAAAAUACUGUCUCAGAAAAGGACAAAACACAGCCAUGCUGGCUGCUUUUAUUUACUGCAUGAUUGUGCACUUGGUCGGCCAUUGGCGUCACAUCCUGCAAUUUGAUCUACUGUUAUUUUUUGACGUUUUACAUUUGUAUUUAUUUGACGUAUAGGUGUGCAAUAAAAUCAUAGCACUGUCUGCCCGCUCAAAAAAGAAAAAAGGGAAAAAAAAGCAUGCAUACACACACACACACACACUGUAAUCAAUCUAUGGAUCAUCAUAUCAACAAAUGAGUAAUUAGCAAUAGUAGAUUUAAAUAAUUUAAAACGUUUUUAAUUGUCGAGAAUCUAAGUGUGAAGUCAUUCAGCAGCUCACAGAGAAUCCAUUGGCGCAUAAGCAGUAUGGCUUUUUAAUGUCACUUGAUAAGUAUUGACAGCCCUUUCAAGGCUUCUAAGGCACAAUACACUUCACGUAAGCCCUUCCUUGUUCCCUCAUCCUCACAGUCAUCCUCAUGUGAAUCACACUUUAUGCAUGGGACUCUUUAAGGUCGUCCAUUUGCCUCUGCAAGUUUGUCUCAGAGGAAGAUGGUGGUUCAAAAAUCAUGAAAAAAUAAACAACUAAAAACAUCUUGA